rnacentral:lncRNA from 1 species
AUGCAAAAAUGGGCGGUCCCAAGGGGUUUUUAAUGCAUAAUUCCUUUUUAAUAUGAUCUCUAUAAAUGAAAUGGAUGCAAGCAACUAACCAAACUUAAUACUUCACUAGAGGUGCAAAAAUGGAUCUUCCCUAGGGGCGUUAACAGGUCGGGUCAGGUUUCACACUCACGAUCCUUAAAUUUAUGUUUUAAGGUAUAAUCCUUUUUAAUACAAUUGCUUGGAUGCAAGUGGGUUGGUAACCCAACCAAACAUUUCACUAGAUGUUUAAAUAUGGAUGGUCCCUAGGGGUCUAAACAGGUCGGGUAGGGUUUCAAACUAAAGAUCGUUAAAUCUAUGUUCUUAAAGCAUAAUCUUCUUUAAUACAAUUGCUGGAAGUGAAAUGGAUGCAAGUGGGUCAGUAACCAAACUUCUCAUUUCACUAGACGCACAAAGAAUGAAUGGUCCGGGGUAUUUCCGGAUCGGGUUGGAGCAAGUUUGAAACUUAAGAUAUUUAAAUAUUGGUUUUUACAUCAUAAUCCCUUACUAAAGCACAUUCCUUUUUAACCAUAAUCAUGUUAUUUAACAGUCAGGAAGGUAAUGUGGAUCAUCGACUUCAUUAAAUAAAAUGGACUGUUUAUCGAAAAAUAGUGAUUUUUGUUUUGUUACUAGAUGUUAUCAUCUAUCAUUAACCUUUUUAUAUGCUUUAGACAAGAUUCGUAUUGAGAGCUUAGUUCAUAUUAUACCUAACAAAGCUAGCAACACAUUGAGCAUCAUUGAUGGUGGAGGUGGAACGCCAAGGCUGUUAGGUGAACAAUCUCGGUGCCGUU